rnacentral:lncRNA from 1 species
CUCCAGUUCGUCCAAUGUGCCAUAAACAUCGUACACAUCAUCGAUGAUGGUUAUCAGCGAGGUCACUUUGGUCAGCCGCUUCCGACAAUUAGCGAGCGUAGGUUCGUCUGCCACUCCAACCGCCCAAAAGAAGCACUCCAUUAGUCUAUCCCUCACGAAGUUCAAAUUUCUCGCGAGGGUAACAUCAUUCCACCAUCUGCGAUAACACAGUAUAAUUUUAGAGUAUGCAUUGCAAUUUUUCGAAUACAUGGGAAGCUUUCCAAAGUCUAAUUUCCUUAUAGCCCAUGAAUUCCAUCGUCCAUUGUAGGAUUUAUCCUCAUGAGUUUGCAGACUAGCCUUGACAUUUCCUGAAGAUCUCUUUGGAGGAUUGAUUGUGACGUGUUGAAGUUCGUCACGGCAAAUUCGGGGAUUCGAUGAUUGGUGUAUCCGCAUCUUCUGUAAGCUUCAAUGGAC